AUUGAACGCUGGCGGCAGGCCUAACACAUGCAAGUCGAGCGAGCGGCGGACGGGUGAGUAAUGUCUGGGAAUCUGCCCGAUGGAGGGGGAUAACUACUGGAAACGGUGGCUAAUACCGCAUACUUUCAGAUGUGCCCAUCUGGGAUUAGCUAGUAGGUAAGGUAAUGGCUUACCUAGGCGACGAUCCCUAGCUGGUCUGAGAGGAUGACCAGCCACACUGGGACUGAGACACGGUCCAGACUCCGACGGGAGGCAGCAGUGGGGAAUAUUGCACAAUGGGCGCAAGCCUGAUGCAGCCAUGCCGCGUGUAUGAAGAAGGCCCUAGGGUUGUAAAGUACUUUCAGUCGGGAGGCGUUACCGACAGAAGAAGCACCGGCUAACUCCGUGCCAGCCGCCGCGGUAAUUC
rnacentral:rRNA from 1 species